GACACCUCCUGGAGAAGCCACUCUACUUCACAGGCAGAUCGACAUAACAUACUCCCCCAGGAGAACAUAAGUGCAGCAGGCCUUUCAGGGUCCGAAGUCAGUGACAGUGGACUCACUUCUGAAGAUGAAGACAGCAGGGCAUUGUACCGAAACGUGAAGAACCUUAGCCUGAGCCCUGGGG